UUUGAAUUAGCUUCACUCUGAGGCUUUAUAUAACUGCAGCAGUAUUUGGGGAGUAUUUAUCAAAUCCUAUUUCUUCCUUUUUGGGUGAUAUGAAAUUACCUUCAGUGGUUGAAAUCGGCUUUGCUCGUUGAAGGCUUGAUUUUGUUACCCCUGUUUCUCUCUUUCAGGACUCACAGAUAGCUGCCCGGUUCCUACAGUCGGCCAAUGUUCCACUCCCUGUGGCAGCAGAAAAAUAUCACAACCAAUAAAUCAGAAAUAUUCCAAACAGACUCUAGGUUCAAUAUUUGUUUGUGUCUGUUUCACUGUAAGAGUGUUAUGUUUUGGGGGGGCGCCUGGGUGGCUCAGUCGGUCAAGCGUCUGACUUCAGCUCAGGUCACGAUCUCGCGGUCCGUGAGUUCGAGCCCCGCGUCGGGCUCUGGGCUGAUGGCUCAGAGCCUGGAGCCUGCUUCCCAUUCUGUGUCUCCCUCUCUCUCUGCCCCUCCCCCGUUCAUGCUCUGUCUCUCUCUGUCUCAAAAAUAAAUAAAUGUUAAAAAAAAUUUUUUUUUUAA